UGUUCAUCAGAGUGUAUUUCUAUGUAUUGUUUUGCCUUUCGCCUUUCCUAGCCAACGCGGUACCUGAAGAAAAGUUGAUUUGUUUGGCUAAGUUCAGUUUACCUGACGACGAUACCGCACAAACAUUCACGCUUACGGUGGUAAGAAGCCGCCAAAGUAUCUUUGCAUAUGUGCACGGUUCGACCUGAAAUACCUGGUCCCGUUCGUAUUUGUAGGGGUCUAGUGUGUUAUCCUUGAGUUUUUAGUGAAAAGGCAGUGGAAACAAUAAAACCCACCGCAGUGGUACCGCGAAAGCUUCGCUCAAGAAAUGCGUUCCGUAACCAGCUAAUUAUAUCUUCUGCACUUAUUCAGGUGUUCGCCAUCGUGAUUGAAGAAUCUUCAAACGGCUUUUGAGAGGUUUCCGUGCAGUGAGUGUUUUGAUAUUGUGUCCAGCAAACCGAUGAUUAGUCAUCGUUGAUGGUGGUGCUUUGGUAAUCACGAAAACCAUCUAACCGUGCAGUGGUUAAUUUCCAAAGUUUUACGGAAUGAAGUAUCUAAAAACGUGAUUGUAAGUUGUGUGAAAGAAUCAAAGUAAUUGUGAAGCAUACUAGUUGAGAAAGACAGUGAAAUAGAGCAGCGAACAAUGAAAGACAGCGAUGGAAUUCUGGUGGAUACAUCACUCAACUGGUUUUAUUGAGAAAACCACAUUGUGUUACAGUUUUUCUAUUUUACGUUUGCUAGUCCCGAUGAAAUACGAAUGGAAACAAAGAAGUGACCAUGUCUGCGUGGAUCUGAAGAUUGCAAAUGUCGAAAUCUAUCAAUUUAAAUUUGAAUUGAGUUUUCAUCGACCUAUUUUGGAUAAAUCAAAUUUAUUUAAAUUUGAAUUGGAUAAAAUAUUAUGUUGGUUCCAGCAAAUGACGUAGAAAUAUCUGCUUGAAUAUGCGUGAAGUCUUUAUAUAUCAUACUAUUUCUAAGAAUAAAUCGGAAAAAGUGUCGGCUAGAGCCUAGAAAUGUUAGCGUCUUUGCUGGGUCUUCCCCUUCCUAUGCAUCAUGACAGCGAAAAUAUCUUCAAAGAAAAGAUUUUCUCGCUCCGAGAAUUUAUGCAUUUUUUGUACAUAUAAUAAUUUAGGGCAAAAACGGUUCUUUCAAACCGGAAAAAAAGUUAUAUUUAAAAUGCGGAUUAUAAGAUGAAAUUUAUUUCGAAUAUUUAAUAUAUACAUAUAUUGGCUCACCUACAUAUAUAGAAUCUGAAUCGAAAAUCAAUUCUAUUAUUGCUGAAA